rnacentral:SRP_RNA from 1 species
CCGUGCUAGACGGGGAGGUAGCGGUGCCCUGUAACCUGCAACCCGCUUUAGCAGGGUUUAAUUCCUGGUGGAGGGUUUCGGCGGAUACUUUUGAAACAGUUUCUCGAUCUGUGAAAGCCGGGUCCCGCGGAAGGCAUGUUUGUGAACCCCGUCAGGUCCGGAAGGAAGCAGCGGUAAGCAAAAGUUUGCUUAUGUUGCGGGUUUGCCUGGCCGGAGUGAGAGCGCUGCGAAAGAAGCUUCGUCAAAUCUCAAAGCCGGGUGCACGG